GAUGAACGCUGGCGGCGUGCCUAAUACAUGCAAGUCGAGCGAACAGACGAGGAGCUUGCUCCUCUGACGUUAGCGGCGGACGGGUGAGUAACACGUGGAUAACCUACCUAUAAGACUGGGAUAACUUCGGGAAACCGGAGCUAAUACCGGAGAAUAUAUUGAACCGCAUGGUUCAAUAGUGAAAGACGGUUUUGCUGUCACUUAUAGAUGGAUCCGCGCCGCAUUAGCUGGUUGGUAAGGUAACGGCUUACCAAGGCAACGAGGCGUAGCCGAGCUGAGAGGGUGAUCGGCCACACUGGAACUGGGACACGGUCCAGGCUCCUACGGGAGGCAGCAGUAGGGAAUCUUACGCAAUGGGCGAAAGCCUGACGGAGCAACGCCGCGUGAGUGAUGAAGGUCUUCGGAUCGUAAAACUCUGUUAUUAGGGAAGAACAAAUGUGUAAGUAAAUAUGCACGUCGUGACGGUAACUAAUCAGAAAGCCACGGCUAACUACGUG
rnacentral:rRNA from 1 species